rnacentral:rRNA from 1 species
UAAGGAAUAUUGGUCAAUGGACGCAAGUCUGAACCAGCCAUGCCGCGUGGAGGAUGAAGGUCCUCUGGAUUGUAAACUUCUUUUAUCUGAGAAGAAACCCCAACGUUCUCGUUGGGCUGACGGUACCAGAUGAAUAAGCACCGGCUAACUCCGUGCCAGCAGCCGCGGUAAUACGGAGGGUGCAAGCGUUAUCCGGAUUCACUGGGUUUAAAGGGUGCGUAGGUGGAUUGGUAAGUCCGUGGUGAAAUCCCCGAGCUUAACUCGGGAACUGCCGUGGAUACUAUCAAUCUUGAAUACUGUGGAGGUAAGCGGAAUAUGUCAUGUAGCGGUGAAAUGCUUAGAUAUGACAUAGAACACCGAUAGCGGAGGCAGCUUGCUACACAGUCAUUGACACUGAGGCACGAAAGCGUGGGGAGCAAA